rnacentral:tRNA from 1 species
GUGCUCGUAGCUCAGCUGGAUAGAGCAACGCCCUUCUAAGGCGUAGGCCAGGGGUUCGAAUCCCUUCGGGCACACCA